GGCGACCGGCGCACUGGUGAGUAACACGUAUGCAACCUGCCCCAAUCCGGGGGAUAAGCUCGAGAAAUUGGGUCUAAUACCCCAUACGCUGACGGACCACAUGGUCUGUCAGUGAAAGAUUUAUCAGAUUGGGAUGGGCAUGCGGCGCAUUAGCUAGUUGGCGGGGUAACGGCCCACCAAGGCGACGAUGCGUAGGGGUUCUGAGAGGAAGGUCCCCCACAUUGGUACUGAGACACGGACCAAACUCCUUACGGGAGGCAGCAGUGAGGAAUAUUGGUCAAUGGACGAGAGUCUGAACCAGCCAAGUCGCGUGAGGGAGGAAGGUCCUAUGGAUUGUAAAACCUCUUUUGGCCCGGGGAGUUAACAAGCGGGACGUGUCCCGCCCUGAGAAGUACCCGGAGAAAAAGCAUCGGCUAACUCCGUGCCAGCAGCCGCGGUAAUACGGAGGAUGCGAGCGUUAUCCGGAUUUAUUGGGUUUAAAGGGUGCGCAGGCGGCGAGUCAAGUCAGCGGUCAAAGUGCGGAGCUCAACUCCGUAUCGCCGUUGAAACUGGUUUGCUAGAGUGCGUGCGAGGAAGGCGGAAUGCGUGGUGUAGCGGUGAAAUGCAUAGAUAUCACGCAGAACUCCGAUUGCGAAGGCAGCUUUCCAGCACGGCUUACUGACGCUCAUGGCCACCGAAAGCGUGGGGGAAUCGGAACAGGAUUAGAUUACCUGGUAGUCCACGCGGUAAACGAUGAUUACUAGAUAUUCGGGCCGAUUGGGGCCUGGUGUGUCACAGCCGAAAAGCCGUUAAGUAAUCCACCUGGGGAGUACGCCGGCAACGGUGAAACUCAAAGGAAUUGACCGGGGGCCCGCACAAGCGGAGGAACAUGUGGUUUAAUUCGAUGAUACGCGAGGAACCUUACCCGGGCUCAAACGCCAAGAGACGUAAUCUGAAAGGGUUAUUUCCGCAAGGACUGUUGGCGAGGUGCUGCAUGGUUGUCGUCAGCUCGUGCCGUGAGGUGUCGGCUUAAGUGCCAUAACGAGCGCAACCCCCAUUUUCAGUUGCCAUCGGGUGAUGCCGGGCACUCUGGAGAGACUGCCGGCGCAAGCUGUGAGGAAGGCGGGGAUGACGUCAAAUCAGCACGGCCCUUACGUCCAGGGCGACACACGUGUUACAAUGGCGGGGCACAGAAGGAAGCCAGGCGGCGACGCCGAGCCGAUCCCGAAAACCCGUCUCAGUUCGGAUCGGAGUCUGCAACUCGACUCCGUGAAGCUGGAUUCGCUAGUAAUCGCGCAUCAGCCAUGGCGCGGUGAAUACGUUCCCGGGCCUUGUACACACCGCCCGUCAAGCCAUGGAAGCUUGGAGUACCUAAAGUCCGUGACCGCAAGGACGGCCAAGGUAAGACAAGU
rnacentral:rRNA from 1 species